AUUGAACGCUGGCGGCAUGCUUUACACAUGCAAGUCGAACGGUAACAGGGAGCUUGCUCCGCUGACGAGUGGCGAACGGGUGAGUAAUGCAUCGGAACGUACCCAGUCGUGGGGGAUAACGUAGCGAAAGUUACGCUAAUACCGCAUACGUCCUGAGGGAGAAAGCGGGGGACCGUAAGGCCUCGCGCGAUUGGAGCGGCCGAUGUCAGAUUAGGUAGUUGGUGGGGUAAAGGCUCACCAAGCCAACGAUCUGUAGCUGGUCUGAGAGGACGACCAGCCACACUGGAACUGAGACACGGCCCAGACUCCUACGGGAGGCAGCAGUGGGGAAUCUUGGACAAUGGGCGCAAGCCUGAUCCAGCCAUGCCGCGUGGAUGAUGAAGGCCUUAGGGUUGUAAAAUCCUUUCAACGGGGACGAUAAUGACGGUACCCGUAGAAGAAGCCCCGGCUAACUUCGUG
rnacentral:rRNA from 1 species